rnacentral:rRNA from 1 species
AUUGAACGCUGGCGGAAUGCUUUACACAUGCAAGUCGAGCGGCAGCGCGGGGGCAACCCUGGCGGCGAGCGGCGAACGGGUGAGUAAUACAUCGGAACGUGUCCUUUCGUGGGGGAUAACCAGUCGAAAGACUGGCUAAUACCGCAUGAGAUCUCACGAUGAAAGCGGGGGACCGCAAGGCCUCGCGCGAUUGGAGCGGCCGAUGUCGGAUUAGCUAGUUGGCGGGGAAAAGCCCACCAAGGCUACGAUCCGUAGCUGGUUUGAGAGAACGACCAGCCACACUGGGACUGAGACACGGCCCAGACUCCUACGGGGGGCAGCAGUGGGGAAUUUUGACAAUGGGGGCAACCCUGAUCCAGCCAUGCCGCGUGUGUGAAGAAGGCC